AGCCUUGCACUCAUUCCAAAACCCCAACCCCAGCUGCCCAACCCCAACAACCAACCGAAAUUUUUAGUGUCUCAUGAGAACUCAUCUUCCCUCAACGUCAGCAUCACAGCGGGAGGAUCUGGUAGUGCUUCUGAGGUAUUCCCUGCUUUGCCCAUGCGAGCUGUGACAGUUUGCCAAAAGUUCUCCAGGAUAAAUGUAAGAAGCAGUUAUAUUUACAUCAAUGUGAACAUGGAAUCCAAGACAUCACGGGAGGCAUCACCACCAGUGAGGCUGCCAGUCUUUGCAUAUGGGAGCCAGUUCGUUGG